rnacentral:rRNA from 1 species
CCUACGGGAGGCUGCAGUGGGGAAUAUUGCACAAUGGGGGAAACCCUGAUGCAGCGACGCCGCGUGAGUGAAGAAGUAUUUCGGUAUGUAAAGCUCUAUCAGCAGGGAAGAUAAUGACGGUACCUGACUAAGAAGCCCCGGCUAACUACGUGCCAGCAGCCGCGGUAAUACGUAGGGGGCAAGCGUUAUCCGGAUUUACUGGGUGGAAAGGGAGCGUAGGUGGCAGGGCAAGUCAGAUGUGAAAACCCGGGGCUCAACCCCGGGAGUGCAUUUGAAACUGUCCAGCUGGAGUGCAGGAGAGGUAAGCGGAAUUCCUAGUGUAGCGGUGAAAUGUAUAGAUAUUAGGAGGAACACCAGUGGCGAAGGCGGCUUACUGGACUGUAACUGACACUGAGGCUCGAAAGCGUGGGGAGCAAACAGGAUUAGAUACCCCGGUAGUC